UACGUAGGGGGCAAGCGUUGUCCGGAUUUAUUGGGCGUAAAGAGCGUGUAGGCGGCCAGACAGGUCCGUUGUGAAAACUCGAGGCUCAACCUCGAGACGUCGAUGGAAACCGUCUGGCUAGAGUCCGGAAGAGGAGAGUGGAAUUCCUGGUGUAGCGGUGAAAUGACGCAGAUAUCAGGAAGAACACCCGUGGCGAAGGCGGCUCUCUGGGACGGUACUGACGCUGAGACACGAAAGCGUGGGUAGCAAACAGG
rnacentral:rRNA from 1 species